GACCUGGUGGCUCAGUGGUAAAGCGCCCGCCUCGUGAACGAGAGGUCGUGGGUUCGAUCCCCGGCCGAGUCA
rnacentral:tRNA from 1 species